rnacentral:rRNA from 1 species
UGAUGUGAAAGCCCCCGGCUCAACCGGGGAGGGUCAUUGGAAACUGGGGAACUUGAGUGCAGAAGAGGAGAGUGGAAUUCCAUGUGUAGCGGUGAAAUGCGUAGAUAUAUGGAGGAACACCAGUGGCGAAGGCGACUCUCUGGUCUGUAACUGACGCUGAGGCUCGAAAGCGUGGGUAGCAAACAGGAUUAGAUACCCUGGUAGUCCACGCCGUAAACGAUGAGUGCUAAGUGUUGGAGGGUUUCCGCCCUUCAGUGCUGCAGUUAACGCAUUAAGCACUCCGCCUGGGGAGUACGGCCGCAAGGCUAAAACUCAAAGGAAUUGACGGGGGCCCGCACAAGCAGCGGAGCAUGUGGUUUAAUUCGAAGCAACGCGAAGAACCUUACCAGGGCUUGACAU